GAUGAACGCUGGCGGCGUGCUUAACACAUGCAAGUCGAACGAUGAAGCCCAGCUUGCUGGGUGGAUUAGUGGCGAACGGGUGAGUAACACGUGAGUAACCUGCCCUUAACUCUGGGAUAAGCCUGGGAAACUGGGUCUAAUACCGGAUAGGAGCGUCCACCGCAUGGUGGGUGUUGGAAAGAUUUAUCGGUUUUGGAUGGACUCGCGGCCUAUCAGCUUGUUGGUGAGGUAGUGGCUCACCAAGGCGACGACGGGUAGCCGGCCUGAGAGGGUGACCGGCCACACUGGGACUGAGACACGGCCCAGACUCCUACGGGAGGCAGCAGUGGGGAAUAUUGCACAAUGGGCGCAAGCCUGAUGCAGCGACGCCGCGUGAGGGAUGACGGCCUUCGGGUUGUAAACCUCUUUCAGUAGGGAAGAAGCGAAAGUGACGGUACCUGCAGAAGAAGCACCGGCUAACUACGUG
rnacentral:rRNA from 1 species